UGUUUUUAUCGGAAACGUUUAUAAACAAAUUUGGUCGAGAGUUAAGGGUGAAAUAGAGACAGUUGCACAGCUCUACUUUAUUUAAUGUUGUUUUAUUAACAGCUGGUUUAUUCAACCCUGAGCCGCUGGCUAUCAUGCAAGUUUUACUGAGACCUCUUAGUAAUGUUUUAUUAUUUGCUGGACUCUUUCGUAAUGUUAAGAUAUGCAGAAUAAAGAGAAGAAGUCAGGGUUAUACGGAGGCGUGCACUUUAAUCAGACACAGAUGGAUAAAGACGGGUUAUGUGUCAAGUACACACUGUAUGAGGGAGUUCAGCUCCUCAGCUCAGAAGCAGAAUAUCGAUAUGUCCCAGUUCCCUGUGGAGAAGAUAAGAAACUUCAGCAUCAUCGCUCAUAUUGACCACGGGAAAAGCACCCUCGCUGACAGACUGUUGGAGAUGACAGGUGCCAUUGCAAAAACCGAGCGGAAUAAACAGGUGCUGGACAAACUGCAGGUGGAGAGAGAGAGGGGAAUCACAGUAAAGGCUCAGACUGCCUCUCUGUUCUAUAAGCAUGAGGGACAGACUUAUCUGCUCAAUCUCAUCGACACACCGGGUCAUGUUGACUUCAGCUAUGAGGUGUCGCGCUCCAUAUCAGCCUGCCAAGGAGUUCUGCUCAUAGUAGAUGCAAAUGAGGGAAUACAGGCACAAACAGUGGCAAACUUCUACUUGGCGUUUGAAGCUCAGUUAAACAUAAUACCAGUUAUAAAUAAAAUUGAUUUGAAAAAUGCAGAUCCUGACAGAGUGGAAAAGCAAAUCGAAAAGAUGUUUGAUAUUCCAAGUGAGGAGUGUAUCCGGAUUUCUGCAAAAUUAGGCACAAACGUGGACCAAGUUCUUCAGGAGGUAGUGAAGAGAAUACCUCCACCCACAGCUAAGCUAGAGGAACCAUUUAAAGCCCUGGUCUUUGACUCGACUUUUGACCACUACAGAGGAGUAGUAGCCAAUAUCGCCUUGUUUAGUGGACAGGUCUGUAAGGGGGACAAAAUUGUCUCGGCCCACCUGGGAAAGACGUACGAGGUCAAUGAACUGGGGAUUCUGAGGCCAGAUGAACAACCCACAGAGAGACUCUUUGCAGGACAGGUGGGUUAUGUUAUAGCUGGCAUGAAAGAAGUGAAGGACGCUCAGAUUGGAGACACAUUCUAUCUCCAAAAUCAGCCAGUGGAGGCACUGCCUGGCUUUAAACCUGCUAAGUGCAUGGUCUUUGCAGGUAUAUACCCUACAGAUCAGUCGGAGUAUCCUUCUCUACGCAGCGCGGUGGAGAAGCUCACUCUGAAUGACUCUAGCGUGAUGGUGCAGAGAGACAGCAGUCUGGCUUUGGGGGCUGGCUGGAGGCUGGGAUUUCUGGGUCUGUUGCACAUGGAGGUCUUUAACCAGCGUUUGGAGCAGGAGUAUAAUGCCUCUGUUAUAGUCACAGCUCCAACAGUGCCAUACAAAGCUGUACUGGCCUCACCCAAACUCAUAAAGGAGUAUGGGCAGGAAGUGGUGACCAUUGUAAACCCGACCCAGUUCCCUGAGAGGUCUUGUGUCGUGGAAUACCAGGAGCCCAUGGUAAUGGGAACUAUCAUCAGCCCUGACGACUUCACUGGGAAGAUCAUGAGCCUCUGUCAGAGCCGCAGAGCUAUUCAGAAGAACAUGGUUUACAUCGAUGACCACCGAGUGAUGAUGCAGUACCUGUUCCCUCUAAACGAAAUCGUGGUCGAUUUUUACGACGAGCUUAAGUCCAUGUCAUCAGGAUACGCUAGCUUUGACUACGAGGAUGCUGGCUACGAACCAGCCGAACUGAUUAAGAUUGAUUUCCUGCUCAAUGGGAAACCAGUGGAAGAACUCACCACUAUUGUUCACAACCUUUGCUAUGUUGCUGCUUUUAGAGACCGGGCCUAUAAUACAGGGAAAGCCAUGUGCAUGAGGCUGCAGGAAUCCAUCCCCAGGCAGAUGUUUGAGAUUGCUGUACAGGCAGCCAUCGGAAGCAAAGUCAUCGCCAGGGAAACAAUUAAAGCAUACAGAAAGAACGUCCUAGCGAAAUGUUAUGGUGGUGAUAUCACACGAAAAAUGAAGCUGUUGAAAAAACAAGCGGAAGGCAAGAAGAAAAUGAGGCGCAUUGGAAAUAUUGAGGUCCCCAAAGAGGCCUUCAUUAACGUACUGAAAAGGAAGUAGAAACUCCAAGAAGAAAAUGUCAAAAAUGCUACAUACUGAGGAAGAAAGCCGAAUCAGAAAAUCCUAAUCAAAUCUGAGGUAUCUUUAUGGAUGUGAAAGCACUGCCUUCUAGGACACUGAAGUAUGAGGCAGUAUAGCGAUCAAGGCAGCUACCUUCUGUUUCAGACACCUCCAAGGAGUUUUUGUGCAUCUCUUGUACAAAAUAAAACAAAGGCAAAACCCGAGUAAACACGCAAUACAGUUUUUAGUUAUUUUUUUAAUUGAAGCAAAAAAAGGUAUCCAACACCUAUACACCCAUGUGAAAAACCCCUUAAACUAAAAAUCUGGUUGUGCCAGCUUUAGCAGCAAUAACUCCAACCAAAUUCUUCCGUUAACUGGAGCUCAGUCUUUCACUUCUAGGACUAGAACUUACAACUAUGCUCUGGAUCAUUGUCUUGCUGCAUAAUCCAGUUGAGUUUCAACUUAUCCUUCAAACAUUCUCCUAAACAUUUUCUGGUAGAACAGAAUUAAUGUUUCCCUCAAUUAUUAUAAGUUGCCCAGGCCCUGAAGUAGCAAAGCAUCCCCACACCAUCACACUUCCACCACCAUGCUUGACCAUACAUAUAAUGUUCUUUUUGUGGAAUUAUGAGAUUAGUUUACACCAGAUGUAACGGGACCCCUGUCUUCCAAACAGUUCCACUUUCGACUCUUGAAUCCACAGGACAUUCUCCCAAAAGGUUUGAGGAUCAUCAAGGUGUGUUUUGGUAAAAUUCAGAUGAGUCUUAAUAUUCUUCUGGGUUAGUGGUUUUCACCGUGUCACUCUUCCAUGGAUGCCAUUUUUACCCAGUGACUUUCUGAUAGUGGAGUCAUGAACAGUGACCUUUAUUGAUGCAAGACAGGCCUGUAGGUCCUUUGAUGUUGUCCUUGGGUCUUUUGUAACUUGCUGGAUGAGUAGUUGCUGUGCUCUUGGAGGAAAUUUGGAAGGUCGGCCACUUCUAGGAAGGUUCACUACUGUGCCGAGUUUUUCCAUUUGGUAAAUGAUAAUGGCUCACACUGUGGUCCUUUGGAGUCCCAGACCCUUUGAAAUAGCUUUGUAACCCUUCCCAGACUGAUGUAUUUCAAUCACCUUCUUCCUCAUAAUUUCUGGAAUUUUUUUCAACUUUCAAAGACCUUUUAACCAACUUCAUGCUGUGAAAAAGUUCUAUUUAAGUGUUGAUUUGAUUGAACAGGGUUUGCAGUAAUCAGGGCUGGUUGUGUCUAGUCCAGCUGAACACCAUUAUCAAUACAGUUUCAUAGAUUUGGGGAAUGAACUAUGGGGGCAAAUACAUUUUCACAGAAGCUCAGUUGGUAUUGGAUAUCUUUUUUGCUUCAGUAAUUAACUCUCAUUUAAAACUGUAUUUUGUGUUUACUCAGGUUGCUUUUGUUUUAUCUUAGAUUUUGUUUUAAUUUUUGAAACAAUUUAGUAUAAGAUAUACACAAGAAAUCAAUUACUUUUUUACAUUACUGUGUGUAUUUAUUUAUGUUGUGUAAUGGACUGAUGCGAGAGUGUAGUGUGUGGUCAUGUAAAAUGUAAAUACAGACCUCAAUAUUGUUUUAAAAAUUAAUUAAUAUGCAUUAUUGGCUUUAUGGGUGUAAUGAAAUGCCGAAGAAAAUCUGUGUUUAAUUCUGUAAAGCACUUAAAGGAAAUAAUGCAUUUUUAAUUCCAAGUGAAGCACGUUCAUAGACCUGGAGCCAGUCGUAUGUACACUGGGUGUGAAGCAGGAAUACACCCUGGAGGGGACAUCAGGUCAUUGCAGGGCACCAUGCAGACACACAUUCACACAAUCACUUACAGCUGGGGGAAUUUAGCAUAGCCAGUCUACCUCCCGGCAUGUUUUUGGGAGGUGAGAGGCUAAUGGUGGUGAAAGAAUAAUGAAUUACAGAAAAUUCUGUAAGUUUAUACUUUAUAUGACUGAUACAUUUGGGAUUUCCAGACAUAGUUCAUAGGCCAGACAAAAGCUAAAACACUUAUUUAAACCAAACAAG